AACGAACGCUGGCGGCAUGCCUAACACAUGCAAGUCGAACGAGACCUUCGGGUCUAGUGGCGCACGGGUGCGUAACGCGUGGGAACCUGCCCUUAGGUUCGGAAUAACUCCCCGAAAGGGGUGCUAAUACCGGAUAAUGUCUUCGGACCAAAGAUUUAUCGCCUUUGGAUGGGCCCGCGUUGGAUUAGCUAGUUGGUAGGGUAAAAGCCUACCAAGGCGACGAUCCAUAGCUGGUCUGAGAGGAUGAUCCGCCACACUGGGACUGAGACACGGCCCAGACUCCUACGGGAGGCAGCAGUGGGGAAUAUUGGACACUGGGCGAAAGCCUGAUCCAGCAAUGCCGCGUGAGUGAUGAAGGCCUUAGGGUUGUAAAGCUCUUUUACCCGGGAUGAUAAUGACAGUACCGGGAGAAUAAGCUCCGGCUAACUCCGUG
rnacentral:rRNA from 1 species